rnacentral:rRNA from 1 species
ACGUAGGAGGCAAGCGUUAUCCGGAAUUACUGGGCGUAAAGAGCGUGUAGGUGGUUUUUUAAGUAUGAGGUGAAAGCUCCUAGCUUAACUAUUAUAGGUCUUGCAAACUGGAAGACUUGAGUAUUGGAGAGGGAAGUGGAAUUUCCAGUGUAGCGGUGAAAUGCGUAGAUAUUAGGAGGAACACCAGUGGCGAAGGCGACUUUCUGGACUGUAACUGACACUGAGGCGCGAAAGCGUGGGCAGCAAACAG